CGACGCCGCGUGAGGGAAGAAGGCCUUCGGUUGUAAACCUCUUCAGCAGGACGAAGCUACUCGGGUUAACAGCCAGAGGGUGACGGUACCUGUAGAAGAAGCCCCGGCUAACUACGUGCCAGCAGCCGCGGUAAUACGUAGGGGGCAAGCGUUGUCCGGAUUUACUGGGCGUAAAGAGCGUGUAGGCGGCCAAGCAGGUCUGUUGUGAAAACUGGAGGCUCAACCUCCAGACGUCGACAGAAACCGCUUGGCUAGAGUCCGGAAGAGGAGAGUGGAAUUCCUGGUGUAGCGGUGAAAUGCGCAGAUAUCAGGAAGAACACCAAUGGCGAAGGCAGCUCUCUGGGACGGUACUGACGCUGAGACGCGAAAGCGUGGGGAGCGAACAGGAUUAGAUACCCUGGUAGUCCACGCCGUAAACGAUGGGUGCUAGGUGUGGGGGGUGUCGACUCCCUCCGUGCCGCAGCUAACGCAUUAAGCACCCCGCCUGGGGAGUACGGCCGCAAGGCUAA
rnacentral:rRNA from 1 species